CAGCAGCCGCGGUAAGACAGAGGAUGCAAGCGUUAUCCGGAAUGAUUGGGCGUAAAGCGCGCGCAGGUGGUUUAAUAAGUCUGAUGUGAAAGCCCACGGCUCAACCGUGGAGGGUCAUUGGAAACUGUUAAACUUGAGUGCAGGAGAGAAAAGUGGAAUUCCUAGUGUAGCGGUGAAAUGCGUAGAGAUUAGGAGGAACACCAGUGGCGAAGGCGGCUUUUUGGCCUGUAACUGACACUGAGGCGCGAAAGCGUGGGGAGCAAACAGGAUUAGAGACCCCCGUAGUCCCUGUCUCUUAUAC
rnacentral:rRNA from 1 species